rnacentral:rRNA from 1 species
UACAGGGGGGGCAAGCGUUGUUCGGAAUUACUGGGCGUAAAGGGUCUGUAGGUGGCCAACUAAGUCAGACGUGAAAUCCCUCAGCUUAACUGGGGAACUGCGUCUGAUACUGGAUGGCUUGAGUGUGGGAGAGGAAUGCGGAAUUCCAGGUGUAGCGGUGAAAUGCGUAGAUAUCUGGAGGAACACCGGUGGCGAAGGCGGCAUCCUGGACCGACACUGACGCUGAGGAGCGAAAGCCAGGGGAGCAAACGGGG